UACAGAGGGUGCAAGCGUUAAUCGGAAUUACUGGGCGUAAAGCGCGCGUAGGUGGUUUGUUAAGUUGGAUGUGAAAUCCCCGGGCUCAACCUGGGAACUGCAUUCAAAACUGACUGACUAGAGUGUGGUAGAGGGUGGUGGAAUUUCCUGUGUAGCGGUGAAAUGCGUAGAUAUAGGAAGGAACACCAGUGGCGAAGGCGACCACCUGGACCAACACUGACACUGAGGUGCGAAAGCGUGGGGAG
rnacentral:rRNA from 1 species